GUGUUUAGUAUGAUUUUGUAUGCAUGCAGAAAUGCAUUCUCCAUAAGUUAGGUUAUAAUAAUAAUAAUAAUAAUAAUAAUUUAUUUUAUUUGUAAUGCACUCUUCAUUCAAAAGAAUCUCAGAGUGCCAACAUAUUAAAAACGAACUAUAAUAAUACAAUAAAAUAAAAAUGAAUUAACAUAAGCAUAAUAGAAAACUUUUUAACAUUUUAACAUACGAUUUAACACAAGGCCAGAAAUUAUAAAGUUAUACAUUAAGGCCUGUGUGGUUGGUGUAAUGGGGGAUGCUUUCACUAUCCACCAGGACACAGAGAAGCAUACCAAAGCUUGCAUAUGAACUAUUUCAUAUGAACUAUUAUAUAGAUGAAUCAAUGUAACUUUUACCUGGGCGACAUUUUCGGAUGCCACGUCUAGUAAAUCAGGACAAUGCGUGGGAACGGAGCGUCCGGGUCCGCACAUUAAUGUAAUACCUUCUCCCUCCAGCAGGCGGUGCGCUGUACCCUAUGAUGUCUUGGCUGAGGGCAAGCCAGAAUGAAACUCGUUACGGAACGGAAGGGGUCUGCCCGCACCAAGCAAAACAGGCGGGACACCUCUUACACUUUAUAGAAUGGCAAGGACUUUUCGCUCUCGUCUCGCUUCGCGCUCUGUUGAAUCGCGAAAAUAUGACACGUUGUCAGCUAUUGUAAAGGAGGACGCACAAGCAAGCAAACACUUUGUUCGCGAAUUCAGCAGUGAAGCUACAGUGAACUGAAGGACACAGCUACUAUUACUACUACAGCCGCGGCUCGUAUGUCGGCUGUCAAAACGUGACGUCCUUUCGCUUCGGCUUGCUUUCUUGAGGCUGCUCGGUUCUGGAAACCCGUGUUCUAUGGGAGUAUAUACAAUUACAGUUGGAUACGUCUGUUCCGUGUAGCCUAUACAUAACCAACAAUAUGGAAACGCGCUUUAAUAUGUAUAUCUCGCGUAGGUUUGAGAAAAUAAACUAACACGAAACGACGAAAGCCAGCCUUUCUUGUUACGUGGAGGAUUCUUGCCCUAAUGGGAAGGCUACCUGGUCGCGUGAGCUGCCGCCUACGAACUCGGGUCUGAAGAGUGGAGACAACAAACACAACCGGAUUCGUCGGUGGGUCUUUAGGUGUCCUCCAUGACUACCCCUGAGGCGGUGUGACACAGCACAACCAACUGUCACCCUCCCCCCACACCUCCCUCCUUCCCCCCUCUUCCCCCCC
ensembl:lncRNA